rnacentral:rRNA from 1 species
CCUGCAUGAAGUUGGAAUUGCUAGUAAUCGCGGAUCAGCAUGCCGCGGUGAAUACGUUCCCGGGCCUUGUACACACCGCCCGUCACACCAUGGGAGCCGGUAAUACCCGAAGUCAGUAGUCCAACCACGUGAGGACGCUGCCGAAGGUAGGAUUGGCGACUGGGGUGAAGUCGUAACAAGGUAAC